rnacentral:rRNA from 1 species
UACAGAGACUGCAAGCGUUAUUCGGAUUCACUGGGCGUAAAGGGUGCGCAGGCGGUCGUGUGUGUCAGGUGUGAAAUCCCGGGGCUUAACUCCGGAACUGCGCCUGAAACUACACGACUAGAGCAUUGGAGAGGGAAGUGGAAUUCAUGGUGUAGCAGUGAAAUGCGUAGAUAUCAUGAGGAACACCAGAGGCGAAGGCGACUUCCUGGACAAUUGCUGACGCUCAGGCACGAAAGCAUGGGGAGCAAAAGGG